UUUAAACGAGUGUUAAAAAUAUCUUAACCAUUGCAAGUAUUAAUUCUUAUUUUUCAUUUAAUGUGUAUGAGGAGGUUUAUUGUCCGAGUUGUAUUUAUAUCUGUCAAUUACUGCUCCACAUUUUCGAAUUUUCUGAUUAUAUUUUGGGAAUGUAUUUUACUUUUAAUAUUUAGGGUUGAUGCUUCUUUUGUGUAGUGAAGGGAAGUGUACCAUUGGUAUGGUGAAGCAAAGUUCUACUGCAUUGAGGUACAAAAUUUAGAAUGUAUAUAGUGAUUUCCUGAAUUUAUGUUUUAAACAGCUUGCUAAUCACAUUUAGAAAAUGAAGAAUUUAAAAAAUAUUGGCAUUUACUUUUUUCUUGGAAUGUCUGAGGAAAAGGGUAUUGGAUUUUUAGUGAUCUCUUGUCUUUAAAAGUUAAUCUUGCAUUGUUCUUUUUUGUUUUCUAGAGAUAUGGAUAUGCAUAUAUUGUAACAAUCAUUUUGUUUAACUGUGUUUAACUAUUUUAAAUAAUUAACUUUUAUAUGAGAUUUUUAAGAUCUAUAAGUAUUUAAAAGAGUUGGCCUAUGAUAGUUCAAACUUUUAAAUGUAUACGGAGGGUAGAACAAGACAAACUUCUAAUGAGAAUAUUACUUCAUCUUUUUAUAGGAUUCAUUGAAUUAGUGUGAUAGUGAAAUUACUUGUACACAGUAUUAAAAAGGUAUCUAUGACCUUAUGUAUGCUACUUGUAUAUAUCUUGCCAAAGUAGCAAGAUAGUGGAUUUUUAACAACAUAUUUAUUUAAAAUACAGUAUAAGUCCAUUGUAAUAAUAAAAUUGUAGCAAUUUUAUGGAAAAAAAUAGCUUAUGCCAAAUAAGAAACAUGUAGUUGCAUUUCAUUUUCCUAAUCACUAGGAUUUAUAAUACAAUUUAUUUUUAAUUAAUUUCUUGAAAGUUCUAAAUUACAUGAUUUUGAAUUCAUCUGGUACUUGGCAAAAAAUUGUAAAUAAUGAGCUAUUUUUUAAUUAAACAUAUAGUAAUUUAUAGUGAAUCACAAAAGUAUAAAUUUGUAAAAUACUGUGUAAAUGCUAAUGCUCUUUCAAAUAAGGUGUCACUUGAAAGAUCAGAAAACUUUUAAAAAUUGUCAGUUAUUUGGGUGAUAGUUCAGAAAGGUACAAAAUGUUAUGCAUUUGUUCUCAUAACAAAUAGGUCACCAUUUUAUCAAGUGUGAAUUGUGCAUUAAAACUGAAAUGACAGAGUUCUGUUGGCUGGCUGAGCACUGAUGAGCCUCCUGAUAUAUUUCUUUAUUCCAUUUUUCUGUUAAUUUGGUUAAGGAGAUUUUGUACUACCUCUUAGAACUCUUCAGAGUUCCCUGGUUGCAUGACAAUAUUCAAGACAACUUUGUAAAUAGUUAUCAAGCACAGACCUUUAACUUUAACAUCCAAGCUUCCUAGAUACAUAGUCUCAUAAGUAUAAUUUUGUAAAUAAAUCAUUGUAAAAUUUCAUGCUUUCAUUGCUUCAAAUUUUAAAGAGCAAAAUGUCUAAAGGUUGCUUUCUUUCCACUUUAUGUGCUUUGUUACUCUUGUAACUAGGUGGUUAGCAGAAUGAAACGGAUAAGAAUGUUAUUUCAACUUUUGCUACUCAUCUCAAGAAAAUAAUUAUAUGUUUAUUGUACAUUUAAAACCACAAAGUAUAAUUUUGUAGAUGAAUUAAUGAUAUGGCAUUAUGUAAAUAUAUCUUUACAAUCAUUGUAGAAAAUGUGUCUAAUAAGGAAGAAAUUCUUCUACCUCCUUGAAUUAAUAUACAGUAUUGUGCUUACUUUGACUGCGUGACACCAUUCAAGACAAGCUGUAAAUAACUCACUGAAACUUUAUCAUUUUAAAAAUCAGUUUUCUUCAGAUGUGCAGUCUUAAUUUCAUUGUAAAAUAACAUCCAUAAAUGAUUGCAGUAAAUAAUUUUUCAAUUUAAUGGGCAGUAUUUGGUAUGUUAAAGAUGUAACCCUUGUUACUGAUGGGCUUAAAAUAGAGAAGAUAAUAAUACGCAAGUCUGAUGUAUAUUGUUUACUUGAAGGAAAGUACUUAAAGACAUAAAUUAGAUUUGGGAUUUUUUUUUUUUUUUUGGUCUUUUUGAGACAGUGUCACCCUGUAACCCUAACUGGCCUGGAACUCACUGUAGACCAGGUUGACCUUGAACUCAUAGAGAUCUGCCUGCCUCUGCAUCUGGAGUGCUGUAUUAAAGGUGUGUACCACCACACCCGGCCAUAAAGGAGAAUUUUUAUCAUUAGGAGGAAAGAAAUAUACAAUAAGUUGUCAUGUUAAAUGGAGAAGUUAGAUGAUUGCUAAAAUCAUUGUUUGCAUAUUUCUCUUUUCACAUUUAUUUACAUAUAUGAAAUUAUACCACAUUCAUAUGUGCAUCUCAUGUGCUUCAGUAGUGCAGAUGGGAUAUUAUUGCUCUUUCAAGAAUUAACCCUAUCUUAAAAUUCUUUGCUCUUGACACUUUUACCUUAGGAAUUAUGUAAUUAGUAUAUUACUUUUGAAUUCUAAUUAUUUCUUUAACCUCAGUGUUAUAGGCUAACCCAUAAUUUUAUGGUAAACAUUAAGACCUAUACUUUUUCCUAAAUUUAUUUCUAUAUGUAUGCACUUUUAAUCUAUAACAUUUUUAAAACCUCUGCCUAUCUUUAUAUAUUUUGGACAUCUAUUAUUCCCUAAAACUUCUUUAAAAGAACUGAACCUUUUUGACAUUGGAUACAAUAUAAAUCAGAACAUGUGGAUGUGCUUAAUGAGGACUACUUUACCAGAACUUUCAGGAGGCAGGAAGAUCAAGAGUUCAAAGCUACACAGUUUGAGACCAGCUUGGACUACAGGAAACCAUGUCUCAAAAGAUAAGGAAGAAUGAAAAAAGAAUGCCUCCCUACACAAACAAAAACAGAAUAUGGAACAUCUAGAUUGAAUGAAUGAUUUCUACAAAUAGAAAAACAUUUGGAAGAAUAUGUCAAAAUCUUAGCAUUCCUUAAAAUAGGAGAAAGACUGCUUCUUCUGUCUGCCUCUGUAUUUUAUAAGGGCAUUUGAAAAUGAACAUUUAAAUGGCAAGAAAAUGUGAAGAAGACAGUUUAUGUCUAUUUGAUUAUCAACAUCGUGGGAGUGUUGCACUGCCAUAUACACCUUCAUAUUCCUAGCAAACCUUAUAAAUGACUUGUGAAUGAUUUGUGAAGAGUGUGCACCAUAGCCACUAUUGUAGCAGAAUCAUGACUGAGCCAAGAAUAUUGGAUUAGCCAGUGAAAGAAGAGAGAAGAUGGAAUAUCAAAAAGAUCUCAGGAGGUAUUGCAGUGGAGUCUUGCUCAUCAUGAAAAUUAGAUUGAGCCAAAUUUGGAAGGAGACCAGAAGAUGUCUUGGAGAUAAUAUUUAGUGUCAAUGAUGACCGCUUUUUGUUGCUGCUGGACUAAAUUUGAGGAGCUGUAGUGAUGGUGACUCUACUACAUGAGAAAGUCAGAAUAUUGAGCUUAUCAGUGACUUCGUCUCUGCUUUCAUAAAGGACUCCAAGUCUGUAUCAUUUUCUCCUCAGAAUUGAUGCUUAUACAUAUUUUCCAAGCUGGAAAAAAAUUGCACUUUUCAUUUCAUUUGUGCCCAAUUUAGUAGAUUAGGAGAGAAUAGAUUGCUUUAAAUUGAGUCUACUUAUCCAACUUCAAGGUUACUGGAUCAGUCUCACAAAUUGAUGGAUAAAUUGAUGAAUGCUGAAAUGGAUCUAUACAUUAGUGGCAGGUCAUCCUGGUCUACACAGUGAGUUCCAAGCCAGCUAGGACUGUAUAGUGAGACCCUGUCAUGAGCAAAACUAAACAAUUUUCUCAUAAUUAAGAUGGCUGAUGAAAUUGACUGAAUAACAAGCUUCAUAGGAGACUUCAAGAUGAAUGAUUGAAGAAUUGAAGAUUUGGCAGAGAGUAGUAUUGCUUGUAGUAUUGCUUGUAAUCUCAGCACUUAGGAAUCUCAUUCCGGUGGGAUCUCCCUGUUGCCCUAGCUGACUUGGAACUAGCUAUAUAGAACCAAGCUGGCCUUCAUCUCAGAGAUCCUUCUGCUUGUUCCUUCUGAGUACUGGGAUCAAAGUGUCCUCUAAUUCUCCCAGGUGGUGACCAUCAAAGCAAGUACAUGAAAUAUUCCCUCUGAAGAUAUUCCAUCCACAACAUCUCCCAAAUACUGUUGCUAUUAAUCCUUUCUGGGAUCGCUCUGCAUCUUUAUCAUCUCACACCUUGUAGAGAAGACUUCCAGGAAUAGAAAUGAACUACUUUGGCAAGUAAUUGCCUGAAAUGCUUAGAACUUCUCUGUUUUCAGUAUAUCUUGUACUUUCAUGUCCUGUUAUAUAUCAUUGUAUUUUUUUUCAUUUUACUUUGCAAAUGGAAGAAACUUUUAUGCAUGGGGAAUAUAAUUAAUGUAGCACAUAGACAUUUUUAUUAUACUGCACAUGGCAGCAAGAUUUUCUCCUUAAUUGAGUUUCCCCUGUGAGCCAGUUUUGUUAUCAAAAAACUCAGAUUUUAGGCAGGCCAUAAACAUGAGGGUCUUAUAUGUAUUGUCUUAUACACUGCUGUUAUCUAGAGGAGAUGCUCUACUUGCUGUUUUUGUUGACAUUGCUGGUCUCUGUCUGGCCAGGGAUAUGAGAAUGAUGAAUUUAACCCUUCUCCUAUACCCAAUCCUCAGACUUGACUGUCCUUGUAACUGUGAGCAUGUAAAGGAGUAGUAUCCAUGCAUUGGCAAUUAGAGCUAUGAUGUUGGUAACUUGUAGAAUAUGUGGGGUGGUAAUUUUCUUGGUAUCACUUGUAUUAUCUUUUGGUUGGAGUGAAAUCUCAUUGUAUUAAAGAUUAUCAUAUUA